GGCAGACGCGUCGUAAGAGGGAACCCGGUGGGAAUCCGGGACUGCCCCGCAGCGGUGAGCGGGAACGACCGCCGUCAAACGCACUGGAGCCGAAGCCCGGUUCUGGGAAGCGACGGCCACUAGGAAGCCUCGUCAUCCGGCGAGCAACGCCCGCGAGUCCGAAGACCUGCC
rnacentral:ncRNA from 1 species